CCAGCCUGGUGGCCGGCGGCGUUGCGGCACUGAUGCUGCUGCUGACGGGGCUGGGCCAGUUCGGCCAUGGCACGCUGGC
rnacentral:tRNA from 1 species